CUCUACAAGUGUAUAGUAAUGAAGCAUCGCAUGGGCUUCAUUACUCCGAGAACUAGAUCCACUGAACUAUGCUUCUUCUUCUCCGAUACUUGUGAAGAAACCUGAAAGGCUAGCAUCUGCACGAUAUACAACAAAAUGGUUAGGAACAAAAUAAAAAUAAUCUAACAGCAUAUUUAACAGUAAAUAACAAAUAAUGCAAUAAAUUGGUACAAAGCAAG
rnacentral:lncRNA from 1 species